rnacentral:rRNA from 1 species
UACGAAGGGUGCAAGCGUUAAUCGGAAUUACUGGGCGUAAAGCGUGCGUAGGUGGUUUGUUAAGUCUGCUGUGAAAGCCCUGGGCUCAACCUGGGAAUGGCGGUGGAUACUGACAAGCUAGAGUGCGGUAGAGGAGGGUGGAAUUCCCGGUGUAGCGGUGAAAUGCGUAGAGAUCGGGAGGAACAUCAGUGGCGAAGGCGGCCCUCUGGACCAGCACUGACGCUGAGGCACGAAAGCGUGGGGAGCGAUCCGG